rnacentral:rRNA from 1 species
UGGCGAAUAUUGCACAAUGGGCGCAAGCCUGAUGCAGCGACGCCGCGUGAGGGAUGAAGGCCUUCGGGUUGUAAACCUCUUUCAGCAGGGAAGAAGCGCAAGUGACGGUACCUGCAGAAGAAGCGCCGGCUAACUACGUGCCAGCAGCCGCGGUAAUACGUAGGGCGCAAGCGUUGUCCGGAAUUAUUGGGCGUAAAGAGCUCGUAGGCGGUUUGUCGCGUCUGCUGUGAAAACUCGAGGCUCAACCUCGGGCUUGCAGUGGGUACGGGCAGACUAGAGUGCGGUAGGGGAGACUGGAAUUCCUGGUGUAGCGGUGGAAUGCGCAGAUAUCAGGAGGAACACCGAUGGCGAAGGCAGGUCUCUGGGCCGCAACUGACGCUGAGGAGCGAAAGCAUGGGGAGCGAACAGGAUUAGAUACCCUGGUAGUCCAUGCCGUAAACGUUGGGCACUAGGUGUGGGGCUCAUUCCACAAGUUCCGUGCCGCAGCAAACGCAUUAAGUGCCCCGCCUGGGGAGUACGGCCGCAAGGCUAAAACUCAAAGAAAUUGACGGGGGCCCGCACAAGCGGCGGAGCAUGCGGAUUAAUUCGAUGCAACGCGAAGAACCUUACCAAGGCUUGACAUACACCGGAAACUUCCAGAGAUGGUUGCCCCGCAAGGUCGGUGUACAGGUGGUGCAUGGUUGUCGUCAGCUCGUGUCGUGAGAUGUUGGGUUAAGUCCCGCAACGAGCGCAACCCUCGUCCUAUGUUGCCAGCGGGUCAUGCCGGGGACUCAUAGGAGACUGCCGGGGUCAACUCGGAGGAAGG